AGACAGCUGCGCUGCGAUUGAUGGAAUAGCUGCUUUUUUAACGAAGAUAUUUACUAAGCAAAGUAAAUAUCUUCGUUAAAAAAGCAGCUAUUCCAUCAAUCGCAGCGCAGCUGUCUAGG
rnacentral:pre_miRNA from 1 species